rnacentral:rRNA from 1 species
AUGAACGCUGGCGGCGUGCCUAAUACAUGCAAGUCGAGCGAACAGACGAGGAGCUUGCUCUUCUGACGUUAGCGGCGGACGGGUGAGUAACACGUGGAUAACCUACCUAUAAGACUGGGAUAACUUCGGGAAACCGGAGCUAAUACCGGAUAAUAUAUUGAACCGCAUGGUUCCAUAGUGAAAGACGGUUUUGCUGUCACUUAUAGAUGGAUCCGCGCCGCAUUAGCUAGUUGGUAAGGUAACGGCUUACCAAGGCAACGAUGCGUAGCCGACCUGAGAGGGUGAUCGGCCACACUGGAACUGAGACACGGUCCAGACGCCUACGGGAGGCAGCAGUAGGGAAUCUUCCGCAAUGGGCGAAAGCCUGACGGAGCAACGCCGCGUGAGUGAUGAAGGUCUUCGGAUCGUAAAACUCUGUUAUUAGGGAAGAACAAAUGUGUAAGUAACUAGGCACGUCUUGACGGUACCUAAUCAGAAAGCCACGGCUAACUACGUGC